CUCAGGAGUUCAAGACCAGCAUGGACAACAUGGUCUCAUGGCAGAAUGAAGGAAUUUACCAAAGCCAAGCCCUUUGACUCUGGGCCUAUCUAUUUCUUUGAUCAGUUGAAACCUGAACGGAAAGAUGGGAAAAGAUAACCUGUGAAGAAAGUUAUCCCACCCAAAAUGCACCUCAAGAGCUAAGUGUAGGUUGGAUCUUUCAACAUCCUUACUCAAAAUGGGAAAUUCUGAAGUGGAAGACAGUCCCCAGUAUAGCUGUGAAGAGACUACAAGUAGCCAUAAUUCAAAUCAAAAUAGAAGAAGCAAAGCAAAAAAAAGAGGGCGUCAACAAACAACUUAUCCGGCGCCGCUAUGAGGACCUGGAAGGCGUGGAGGAGAGCAGGGAUCAGCAGUGCUCACAGAGUUUCUGGCUGGAGCUGCUGGAGAAGAAGCCUCAGAUGCCAAUUGUCAAAAAGGCUGACCCCAACAUGAAAAAAUUCCAUUACGCUCUGGUGGAUGGCUCCUCUCUGACCUAAUAUCCUUGUGAAAAUCCCAGGCGGGAAGGAGGAUGAAGGGGGCAGGUCGUGAUGGAAGGGGCUGACAGCUGGGGGUUUCCAUUUCAGCAGAAAAAACCCAGGAAGGAUUGGGAAAAGAGGUCUCAGACCUUGAGUUUGUUAAUCCCUUUUUACCAAUGGUCCACAUCCCCACAAUCUGGGGGCAAGAGAAAUCAACCCAAAAAAGAAGUUGGGGCAAGUUCCUCACUUUACAACCUUCUUUUUUUAUUUUUAUU
rnacentral:lncRNA from 1 species